rnacentral:tRNA from 1 species
UCCCUGGUGGUCGAGAGGCCAAGACUCUGCACUCUCAAUGUAGGGGACCCGGGUUCGAUCCCUGGAUGGGGAA